CCUGCUUACAAAGAUCCAGACGAGAAGAAUCAUCAAUGUCUUCGUUGUUAAAUCUCCCGGAAGAGGUUCACGACGAGAUCUUUCUAAAGUUACCAGGGGAAUCCAUCUUAUCAUCUAGGUGUGUAUGUAAGUUUCUUUAUACUCUUCUUUCUAAACCUAGUUUCAUCAAAAAUCAUGUCAAUCGCACUAAUCAAAGCAAGGAAAACCCUAAACUCUGGUUUAAUCAUUUCCCACCACUUAAUCCCCCUAUAAUUUACUCUGUACCUAUAGAUUAUGCUUCAAUUUCAUCAUCGUCACCACAUGAUGGAGCUGUUCUGAUAAAUUACCCAUCUGAAUGUGAGAAUUUAUAUUUUCUUAAUUAUUUGGGUUCCUGUGAUGGCUUAAUUUGCUCAAGAAUUUUUCGUGCUGCUCGGGAAAGGAAUUGUUUUAUGGCGACUAAUGAUAUUGUUAUUAUGAACCCAUUAACAAGAGAAUAUAAGGAAUUUACAAUGCCCAUAGAGGGUUAUACCCAUGCCUAUGGAUUUGGUUAUGACAGCAACAUUGAUGACUACAAACUAGUCAUAAUAUCGGGUUCGGAAGGUUGCUUGAAAACUCAUGUUUAUAGAGUCAAGUCAGACUCAUGGAGUAGUAUUCAGGGCCCUGUCAAUUACUCGUUUCAUGGUGGUAUUAAAGCUGAGGGUGUGUUUUUCAAUGGAGCUCUUCAUUGGUUGGGAACUAGAACCACCGAAGAAGCCUGGUCCCAAGUUAUAGUCUCUUUUGAUGUUAGCAGUGAGACAAUGGUGGAUAUGCCAUUACCUGAAAAUAUUGUGUCGCCUACAGAUUAUUGGGGAGAAAUAUAUAGAAAUAUUGGAGUGUUAGGAGACAGCAUUUGUGUAGCUUUUAUUUGGGAUUCAGUUAGGAUUGAUGUGUGGGUUAUGCAGAAAUAUGGAGUAAAAGAAUCUUGGACAAAAAGAUUUACCACGCCUAAACUACCAUGUCCCUCGCAGGGAUUACUAUUUUGGAAGCCGCUAUGGUGUUUUGACAAUGGGGAAAUUCUAAUAGAUGAUGAUAGCGAGCAAUUACAUUUGUAUGAUCCAACAGCUGAAAGAGUUAGAUCAGUGGCGGUCUGUAGUAUUAUAAUGGGAAAUUGUCGAGUAAGUUACGUGGAGAGCAUAAGCUCACUUAACUCUGGCAAGUAUAUGGAGAAACAGAUUGAAGAUGGGAUCCUGAAAAAUAUGAGCGACAGCAGUUAAGUUGGUGGGUAACUUAGACUUGUGUGGGUAACUUAGCUUGCUUUGAGAACUGAUGUGAAGGAUGAAUUCUUACGCCUGGAUACAAGCUGUGCCUCAGUUAUAUGCUGCUGUGUUUCUGCUAAACAGAAAGCCUUGGUCGACAAAGAGCAUCUAUUUUAGCUGGAAAAGGAUCAUCGGAUGGAUACUGAACGGAGUAAACAUUUGCUUUCUCUCCCCUUCCGCUUUCCAAGAGAAGGGAAAAGUUGCGGAUAUUGCUCAUAUUGUAGCCAUUACAUUUACUUGCAUAAUUUGGACGGUCAAUUGUCAGAUUGCUCUCAUCAUUUCUCACUUCACGUGGAUCCAACAUCUUUUUAUCUGGGGCAGCAUACUAUUCUGGUACAUUUUCUUGUACGUUUUUGGUUUACUUCCUCCAGUAUAUUCAGAAGGAGGAUUUCAUAUAUUUACAGAAGCUCUGGGUACUGCACCCACAUAUUGGUUGGUCACAUUGAUCAUUGUUACUGUUGCACUUCUCCCUUACUUUCUCCACAUGGUGAUUCAACGGUUAUUUUAUCCGACGGAUGAUCAUAUUUUACAAGAAAUGAAGCAUGAAGAGAAAGAUGUUACAGAAAGCGUAAUGUGGUUACGAGAACAGGCCAACUCCACACAGGAUACUCACAUCGGGUUCACAGCUAGGGUGAAUGCGAAGAUUCGUUUUCUGAAAAGACAAUUGCAACAGCAUAAGAAGAUUGUUGAAACAUAAACUCAUCAAAAAAAAAAAAGUGUAUACCAAUGAGAAGUGAACCCGGUCGCUCGAGGUAUGUAGUUAUUAAUUUUCUUUAGGCUCUUGUUUAUGUUUGAGGUUGAAUCUAUACAAAGUAAAAAAUGUUCUAUUGUUAUGAAAUUGUAAAUUUCUGGAUUUUUUUUUCUACAUUGUGCAAUUGUUGCA